rnacentral:misc_RNA from 1 species
GAUGAAGAACGUAGCGAAAUGCGAUAAGUAAUGUGAAUUGCAGAAUUCAGUGAAUCAUCGAAUCUUUGAACGCACAUUGCGCCCCCCAGUAUUCUGGCGGGCAUGCCUGUUCGAGCGUCAUUUCAACCAUCAAGCCCUGCUUGUGUUGGGGUCCUGCGGCUGCCCGCAGGCCCUGAAAACCAGUGGCGGGCUCGCUAGUCACACCGAGCGCAGUAGCACAUCUCGCUCCGGGCGUGCGGCGGGCUCCAGCCGUUAAAGCACCCACCUUUCGCAAGGUUGACCUCGGAUCAGGUAGGAAUACCCGCUGAACUUAAGCAUAUCAAUAAGCGGAGGA